AGACAUUUUCCACAAUCCUCAAUUAUUCAACUGGCUUCCCGUACACGUGCCCGCAGGGCGUGAUGUUUUUUUUUUUUUUUGUUUGCUGACGGUCUGCGUAAUGAGUUUUGUACUUGUUUGUUCACACGUACGCAGGCGGACACCCCGUUUAAUGAAUAUGAAACAUCUACCCACCUUCCAGUGGAGAGCAAUAGAAAUAUUCAUGACAAGAGGCAUCGUUUUCACGUGUGCGCCUUGCCGGUUCAUCCGCUGGGUUUCCACAUCAGACUACGCCGAGAAUGUAACGGAUGGGUGGGCCUAGAGCAAGGAAAUGUCCAGGUAGCAGCUUAUUUCACCAGGGAAAUAAAUGGGCAGGAAAAAGCUCGCCGAGUCCCGAGGGACCCGACGAGUGUUUGGUGAAGUAACCGCAUCCCGUUGUCCCCCGGGAACGCCAUUUAAAAUGCUCCUUUUCCAAAGGCUGCACGUGUGAUUGAAAAAAAAAACAAGACCCGCGUAUCAUUUAUGGAGCCGUGUUCAUGAAAAUAUAUAUUUUUUUAAAGUAGAACAUGAUCCGGUUCCUCCGGUCCAUGGAGAGCGAGUCAGACAGAAGGCUUGCUGGCGGUUACAUCAAAGAUAUUUAAUCAGGACUAAUGUACUACUUGCGAGAAAGCGAGCGUGGUAAUUAAAGGCGGUGUUGCACGGCCAAUUCAUUCUUCUAAGGAAUAGUUUGCCAGAUGCCCCUAAAAACUCAUUCAAAACUAAAGGGAAAAAAGAUUUAGAGUGCCUCGUCGUUGUGGCUUUAAAAAGCCCCACAACAAGAGCUUUCGGGAUUUUUUUUUUUUUUUUUUAGGAUUUUGAGAUUCAUUUUAUAUACUUUGAGAUAUUUUUUAACCCCUAAGAUUUGGCAGAAUUGUGAAAAGAUGAGUGCUUUUGUGGAGUGUCAAAUUUCAAAGAUGUGUUUUGUUUUCACUUGGGAGGGACUUGAAGGCUCAUUUGCAUAUAGAUUUUGGGAUAGGUUUGAUAUUUAUCCAGGCUUGGAACUAGCACGGAGUUGGUUUGGCUGAAAAAGGAACGGCUUUGCGACGGGCAAAGGGAUUUGAACUGACCUCUUCGACUCUCGGGCGCAUUCAUUCCUCCCCGUCUCCCCCUGCCGAAUUAUGAAGUUGAUAUGGCGAAAUGGAUGGCGGGCGCCGCGACAUAUUAUUUCUCUCCGGGGAGUCUGGCCAGGAAUGGGAUUUCAUUUCAUUUUCAAAUAAAGAUGAUGCGGCGCGCAGGCGUGAAUAAGUUUAACGGCCAUCGAUAUUCACACUUUGACAAAUAGGCCGAAGACUGAUGGUCUUGAGGGGAAUGGCGGGGCGGAGGGUAGAAUGACAUUCACUCCAACCGCUUAAACAAAAUGUAAAUGCCAUUCAGACGCCGCGUAUACGAUUGCCUUACUCUCAAUUACCCUUCUCCUCGGCUUAUAUGACAAACCCCUCAAACCGAGAACCGCACGUGUCUUCUCAGAUGCUGGCAAAAAUCGACACGUCAUUGAACUCAAGUGUAGCAGAUAAAAAAAAAAAAAAAAAAAAGUCGAUGAUUAAUGGACAAAAUGUGCCUGUUAAUAAUCACGACAAAAAUACACGUCAAGGUGACUUGGCCCGUGUAACUCAGUGUACGUAAUGUUAUCUUGCUUAUUGUUAUCAUGUUUAUGAGAGUGCUGAUAACGCUUUUUUUUUUUUUUUUUCGCUCCCUGUCUCUAAGUCACACUCAGGAAGCAAACACUCGGGGCCAAGGGGUGACUUUCUGCCAAGCAACAAGUGACCUCAAACAUCAUUAAGACCUGCGGUCAUUUGAACAUCUUGGGCAAGUCAUUUGAAACUGUAGGUGGCGUUCCCAUAUCGCUGUCUCAGGCAUGUUCCCGCUCAUCCUGAUUUACCAAAAACCAACGUGGCAUCCCAUCUGACAGGAUUCCUCGCGCACAUCAAAAACGAGGUUUGUCUCAUCUGUUACACUGGCGUGGAUCCGACUUCAAACACACGCCAGGCCUCACCUUCCUUUCCUUCAGCCUGACAAAAAAAAAAAAAAAGCUGCCUUAUUCAUAUUCCGCUCCACUCCCAUGCCCUCUCCGCCCCCCCCGGUUGUACACAGUGGAUGGCUAUGUAAUCCCUUUGCCGUUACUGCAAGUUGGCAACAACAGCGUGUUAGAGGACAAGCCGGCGCAAGUUAAAGGAAACGUUCGCCGUGCCGCCCGCCGCUCGCUGUGCUGUUGAAGUCACGGCCAUUUUCCUUUUCGCAUGUCUCCCUCCGAGGAUGCGAGCGAGAAGAUAAGCGACGUUGCCA